GUUAUGACAAUGCAGACCUCACGUGCCCGAAGGCGCCAAAUUCAAGUUACAUACACAACUACAUUUUUAGUUGAGCUGAAUAGCAUUGCUGUUAAAGAACCAAAGUCACCCAGUGAGACAGAUGUACUUAAGAAUGAAGCAGCUUGGUUUAUGAAAGUUGCAUGGAAUAUGGCAAUAGAGCACUCCACAUUGAGCAGACUUGCACAUCUUUUCUUUGUCAAGUGUAGUAAG